CCACACUGGAACUGAGACACGGUCCAGACUCCUACGGGAGGCAGCAGUGGGGAAUAUUGCACAAUGGGCGCAAGCCUGAUGCAGCCAUGCCGCGUGUGUGAAGAAGGCCUUCGGGUUGUAAAGCACUUUCAGCGGGGAGGAAGGCGAUAAGGUUAAUAACCUUGUCGAUUGACGUUACCCGCAGAAGAAGCACCGGCUAACUCCGUGCCAGCAGCCGCGGUAAUACGGAGGGUGCAAGCGUUAAUCGGAAUUACUGGGCGUAAAGCGCACGCAGGCGGUCUGUCAAGUCGGAUGUGAAAUCCCCGGGCUC
rnacentral:rRNA from 1 species